GGCUCAACCCAGAGACUGCUUCCGAAACUGCUGUGCUUGAGUGUGAGAGAGGCUCGUGGAAUUGCAGGUGUAGCGGUGAAAUGCGUAGAUAUCUGCAGGAACACCCGUGGCGAAAGCGGCGAGCUGGAUCACUACUGACGCUGAGGAACGAAAGCUAGGGGAGCAAACAGGAUUAGAUACCCUGGUAGUCCUAGCCCUAAACGAUCAGGACUUGGGGUGCCGCCCGUUCGGGCGUCGUCCCGGAGCUAACGCGUUAAGUCCUGCACCUGGGGAGUACGGUCGCAAGACUGAAACUCAAAGGAAUUGACGGGGGCCCGCACAAGCGGUGGAACAUGUGGUUCAAUUCGACGCUACGCGAGGAACCUUACC
rnacentral:rRNA from 1 species